UGGGGAAUCAUGGUCAAUGGGCGAAAGCCUGAACCUGCGACGCCGCGUGAGUGAUGAAGGUCGUAAGAUCGUAAAACUCUUUUCAGGGAUCUUAAAGCACAACCGUCAACAACGGCUGUGUGUGACUCUCCCUGGAAGAAGCCCCAGCCAACUACGUGCCAGCAGCUGCGGUAAUACGUAGGGGGCGAGCGUUAUUCGGAAUUACUGGGUGUAAAGGGUAUGUAGGCGGCCCUUCAAGUCGCGUGUCAAAGUCCAGUGCUCAACGCUGGGUGUGCGCGCGAUACUGACGGGCUUGAGGGCUGGAGAGGUGAGCGGAAUUCCCCGGUGUAGUGGUAAAAAUACGUAGAGAUCGGGAGGAACACCAGCGGCGCAGGCGGCUCACUAGACAGUUUCUGACGCUAAGAUACGAAAGCGUGGGGAGCAAACAGGAUUAGAUACCCUGGUAGUCCACGCCCUAAACGAUGGAUACUUGGUGUCGGGGGGUUGCCCUCGGUGCCGGAGCUAACGCGUUAAGUAUCCCACCUGGGGACUACGGCCGCAAGGCUAAAA
rnacentral:rRNA from 1 species